rnacentral:tmRNA from 1 species
GGGGGUGCAUUGGCUUCGACGAAGAGAAGGAUGCUUGGAAACGCGUGCCGUGCGGUCCGCGAGCACGAUAAUCCCGCGGAAAGGCAUUACAACUGCCGACUAUAAUUACGCACUGGCUGCUUAAUUAAUUAAGCAGUCCGUCUCCUGCUGUUUUGCCCGUGGAGGAGCAGAGAGACGCCGCAAACACGGGCUGGGUCGCCAAGUUUCCGGGGAGGUGACCGAGAUUAUUCUCCGGAAUAGCCGACCGGGAAUCCUGUCGAUCGGAGUCCCGGAAGGCGAAACCCAAUAGAUCGACUACGCACGUAGCCUGGUUCCAGGGUUCGCUCUUCGGACGGGGGUUCGAUUCCCCCCACCUCCACCA